UACGGAGGGGGCUAGCGUUGUUCGGAAUUACUGGGCGUAAAGCGUACGUAGGCGGCUUUGUAAGUUAGAGGUGAAAGCCCGGGGCUCAACUCCGGAAUUGCCUUUAAGACUGCAUCGCUCGAAUUGUGGAGAGGUAAGUGGAAUUCCGAGUGUAGAGGUGAAAUUCGUAGAUAUUCGGAAGAACACCAGUGGCGAAGGCGACUUACUGGACACAUAUUGACGCUGAGGUGUGAAAGCGUGGGGAGCAAACAGG
rnacentral:rRNA from 1 species